GACGAACGCUGGCGGCGUGCUUAACACAUGCAAGUCGAACGGAAAGGCCCUGCUUGUGUGGGGUGCUCGAGUGGCGAUCGGGUGAGUAACACGUGAGUAACCUGCCCUUGACUUUGGUAUAGCUUCAGGAAACUGGGGCUAAUACCGGAUAGGAGCUCCUGCUGCGUGGUGGGGGGUGGAAAGUUUCGGCGGUCGGGGAUGGACUCGCGGCUUAUCGGCUUGUUGGUGGGGUAGUGGCUUACCAAGGCUGUGAAGGGUAGCCGGCCUGAGAGGGUGACCGGCCACAUGGGUACUGAGGUACGGCCCAGACUCCUACGGGAGGCAGCAGUGGGGAAUAUGGCACAAUGGGAGGAAGCCUGAUGCAGCAACGCCGCGUGCGGGAUGACGUCCUUCGGGUUGUAAAACGCUGUCGGCUGUGACGAAGCGUGAGUGACGGUAAUGAGUAAAGAAGCACCGGCUAACUACGUG
rnacentral:rRNA from 1 species